GUUGAGCCAUGGUUUGACAUGGACAUGGGUCAUCUGGAUGGUCCCCAGCCCCCAUAGAAUUUCCAACUAAAAGGGGACAACUUGGAGACAAAUUCGGAUGGAAGGGGGGCCCCAAGUGGAGAGCCCUCCUGGUCUCCCUGCAUGGCCGACCACCUUCCUCUCCAGGACAACCUCCUGACCUCUCUGGCCCUCCUGGAUUCUGCAGAUGGGAGAAAUGAUGGCUUCUCACCUGUCCCCUCACAGUGGUGUGGUCCUGGGAUGACAAGAGCUUGAUUACUUGGAGAGCCCCGAGCUCCCUAAAAGGGGGGAACCAAGAAUUAUCUUGGAGGUUCCCCAGAUGGAGACUGAAGACUCAGGACCUCAGCUAAACCUGGGAAAGCAGGUCUUGGUUACCUGGAGACAGGAGCCUUCUAACGUUUGUGAGAAGGAUUUCCCACACCCAUGUGGGGAGCAUGUGUCCCCUUAGGGGGACAGAUGGGGGCUGAGCCCUGGGAGGCCCGAGGCUGAAUUUUUCUCCUCAGUGAAUUUAUGUGGCACAGAAAUCCAGUUCCCUCAUGGGCGUUGGGUGCUGCCACCCCAGCAGGGCGCCCAGGUCACCACCACACCUCAGGGUAAAGGCAACAGAGAUGAUCAUGGAGCAUCCCCCAGGCCUAACCCUGCUCAGGCCUCUGCUGUGGAGAGUGCAGCUGACCCACAGCCCAGCCUCCCCUCCACACCCACCAUCUUGUUCUUGGCAGAGCCAGCUUUUCAUGUAGGAGUUCCGGGACAAGCCCUUUCCUUGGGAUGAGGGGCUGCUGGAAAGGUGACUUUGGUUGGAGGACCCCUCAUCAACCUGUCCAGACGUUCCUUAGAACUGUCCUGGGAUCCUGGCCUCUUCUCAUCCGACCCUCCUCCCUUCCUCUCUCCCUUCCCCAACAUCCGAUGGCUCCCCCACCUUCUCC
rnacentral:lncRNA from 1 species